rnacentral:lncRNA from 1 species
GCUCCUCUUGCAGUGUCUUGCUUUUAACUGAUCAGGCCACAGUCAGGCAACAACUGGGCUGCAAACCUCUUCCCGUUCUGCAUGUUGAUGUUCUCGUAUGCAGCUGUAGAGUGAGGUGUGGUAGUGUUGAUAGUGCCAUACUCGUUUGGUUCACCCAUGUCUACUCUUCUUCCCAAUUGAAUGUUUUGGUUUGGGAGGAAAGUUUGAUGGGUUCCUGAUAAGGAGAGGUUUUCACAGUGUGGGAGACCAAGGGUGAGAGAAACACCAUUGCCUGAAAACCUUGGAGUGAACUGCUCGGCAUCAAACCGUCCAAUUUCCCCAAGUGAGUACGACUCGAAUCCUCCAAUGAAGUUUGUUGGGCCUGCCAUUAGCGGAUAGCCAUCUCUGCCCUGCCUCUCAUUGCUGAAC